CCUACGGGUGGCUGCAGUGGGGAAUCUUGGACAAUGGGGGAAACCCUGAUCCAGCGAUGCCGCGUGUGUGAAGAAGGCCUUAGGGUUGUAAAGCACUUUAAUGAGGGAGGAGUAGGUUAUUUUUAAUAGAGAUAGCUGAGGACGUUACCUCAAGAAUAAGCACCGGCUAACUCUGUGCCAGCAGCCGCGGUAAUACAGAGGGUGCGAGCGUUAAUCGGAAUUAUUGGGCGUAAAGGGAGCGUAGGCGGAUGUGCAAGUGGUAGGUGAAAUACCCG
rnacentral:rRNA from 1 species